UGUUUUGCUUGAACUUUUUGGAAAAAAUGAGUGGUAAGAAUGCAAAUGAAUAUUUGAUUCACUGUUUUCGUUUUUGCAUGUUUAUUCUUCUUAGCAAAAUUGAUGCCACCACCUGUUCCACCUGCAAGGUCACCCACAACUGAGCUCACAAGCAAAUGCCAACUCACACAAGUAUCUCUGUGGCCACCAGCUACUCAGGACCCAGAUGAUUUUGAAUCGAAAUUCACUUUCCAUCCCGUGGAAGACUUUCCUCCGCCAGAAGAGUUCAAGCCUUUUAAGAAAGUUUAUCCUAGUCAAGAAGCGAGAAAUAAAGCAAACAACCCCCCUUUACGACCGCAGGCGAGAUGAGAUCAACAAUUCAAGAAUAUUCCAAAAAAAAAAAUCAAGAGUUCACCGAUUGCAGUAUAAAAUGUAGGGCAUAUUUCUGUUAGUCAUGUGAUAGGUACAGGCAAAUAUGGCACUUAAAAGACUGCUGGAUGCAGAUGGGCCAGAAUGAGAGUGCAUGUUCAGUUAUAAAAAAGUUACAACAUAAUGUAUUUUGAUUUAAAUUGCUUUAAAACUGGCCUGAAUUUUAUUUUUAAAUGUUGUGGUGUAUUGUAAUUUACAUAGCUGUUCAUUCUUAUAUGGUAUAUUUUGGUAAAGUAAAAUUGAUUGCCUGUACUGUAUGCAGUUCAGUUUCCCAUGGAGUUUCUGUUGUAAUUAAUUCAUGAUUUCCAAAUUUGAUUUACUGAUUUACAUUAUAUAAUAUAUAAAUUCCUGGCAAGUCUUGUUUUUUGUUUUCUUGGAUAUAGCUUUUCAGUGAUGCAGAUGUAUAGAUUUCCAAAAGAAUGUCACAUAUAGACACAAAUAUACUCGGAGCAUGAAGAAUGGAAACAAAACACUUUCCAUUAGCUUCUUCUAAAGCCCGUCAGCCUAAGAAUAUAAAAUAUUGUUACUUGUAGUCCUCAACUUGCAGGCGUAAUAGGUAUUGGAAAAUGUGCCAUUUAGCAGUGUGUUGUUAAGUGAGGUAUCACACGACUGAACCUUUUUUGCCACGUCAUUAAGCAAAUAAUUUGCAAUC